GAUGAAGAACGUAGCGAAAUGCGAUAAGUAGUGUGAAUUGCAGAAUUCAGUGAAUCAUCGAAUCUUUGAACGCACAUUGCGCCCUUUGGUAUUCCAAAGGGCAUGCCUGUUCGAGCGUCAUUUGUACCCUCAAGCUUUGCUUGGUGUUGGGCGUCUUGUCUCUAGCUUUGCUGGAGACUCACCUUAAAGUAAUUGGCAGCCGGCCUACUGGUUUCGGAGCGCAGCACAAGUCGCACUCUCUAUCAGCAAAGGUCUAGCAUCCAUUAAGCCUUUUUUUCAACUUUUGACCUCGGAUCAGGUAGGGAUACCCGCUGAACUUAAGCAUAUCAAUAAGCGGAGGA
rnacentral:misc_RNA from 1 species